CAGGUGUGGCGCAAGUGUUUAAUGCGAAUCUUCACAGUGGCCCAGAUGGAGGAUAAUUCCAUCCAGAUGAAGAAGGAUUUGUUAACCUUCACCUAUCAGCUACGCAUCGAUGCUGAGGUGGAAGUAGUGGAGAUGGUUUAUGUUCUCCGACCGCGACACAACUGCCGGCAUCCCGGCUGGAAACAUGAUCACCAUGUCCAAGAAGCUGCUGUGGGGCGCCACUACCAGGAUCGGCGCCUCCUUCACGUCCGCCUUACGACCUUUCACCUUAACCCAAUGGAAGCCCACGCAGAAGAACACUGCACGGCCCAGCAGCCACAGGAUCAGGUGGAACAGCCAGCGCCGCCAGCCUGAUAAGGGUUUGGAGCGUUCCUCCUGAGACAGGCCGGCCAAUCGCAGCACAGCGACGAUCCAAGCAGAGAUUAACAAGAUCCACGCCAGGAAGACCCGUAUGGGGAGCAGGGUGCAGCCCAGGAUGAUGCCCUGCAGGAUCAGAGGGGAAAAUUAGAGAUGUUUAAACAUAAUGCAGGGUUCAAUCAAGUGAAACACACACCACCAAACAUCAGAAACACGGUUUCAUGGUCUAAAUCUAAAAAGAUGCCCUCUUUAGUUCUUUUCAUGGCAUCACAAAGCCUUAGUCAAUCUAAACUCAACCACUCAACACGGGACACAUCAAGCUCAGCUUGAUUUAAAGGUCAAGUUUAGGCGAAGUCAUUGUUUCAAACAAACAAACAUUAUUCCUGCUGAUUUAAGAAAAUGUAAGAUAUAUGAAUCGUAGUGUUUGUUUAUAUAAUGCUAAUGAGCCAUGUUUGCUUGGUGGAGCUGGUUAAAUGCUCUUCGGGUGAAACCUGCUUAAAGAUAACUAAGAGGCAAAGUGGAAAUCCAUCAGAAUGAUGGAAGGUUUUUCUUUUUCUCUGUUUUUCAUUAAUAAUAAAGCGAGCGAGCGUGUGCGUGUGUGUGUGUGCGUGUGUGUGUAUUGCUUUUAUUAAUCCCUCAAAGCAGAAGAAGUAGAAACAAUGCUUCCAAUAUGGCAGCCUGAUUAAAGAGCCGGUGAGGCUUUAGCCUUUAACGUCCACAACAGACAGACCUCUACACGCUGCACACAGGGAAACCCUUGCUCUGAGUCUUCACCCACAGCAACACUUCCCUGUCAUCAUCUGUGCUGUGACUCCAUCAAGGCAAAGGGAAGCAACACGUAAACAUUUUCUCAAACUGCUGCGCUGAAACAGUUUCCAAAGAGCAUGCUGUGUGAGACGAUAAACCUCAUUUAACCUUUUAACCUGUGGCUUCCGGAACAAACUCAGGCGAGUCAGUCACUGCAAACACAUUUAUAGCAUCAAGUGUUUGUCAAAUUAAAAGGAUGUGUUUUUUCUACAGCUAGGAUCAUUUUCUAUGUGCAGUAAAGUGCAUCAUCGGUGUUCAAUCAUACAUUUUGUAAUUGUUAUAAACAGAACAAAUGUUUUCUCAAUUCACUGCUUGAUUCUUAACUUGUUUAAAUGAAACAUGAUGAAAUGUCUGCAUUAUUUUUGAAAUGUCCUUGGCAGCGCAUGUGUCUGCAUUGUAACUUACUAAUAAAACGUCCUGUGUGUA